UCUUAUAAAUAAGACUAACAUGCAGAAUGCAGAGAUCUCCCUCUGGUUUAGUUCAAACCUGUAUAUUUUAGUUUGAUUGCAUAGGACUUAUUUGAAAAAGCUGUAAAUUUUGUUUCCGGUGCCUAGAACCAGUACUUAGUGUCUAUAGGGAAGAUCUAAAGAACGCUUUCACAGUGGGGAUCGAACCCGUGACCUCCUGGUUGCUAGGCGGACACCAUAUCCUUUACGCCACAGCUACCUCAGGGUUUGGGGUAACGGUACAGUUUGUCAAGACACCAAACGCAAAGCCUAUCCCAAGGCAAUGCCCCAUUUGCGUGGUAAAAGGCAACACGACUGUGUACCUCCGGGUAACAGACCACGUUCGCUGGGUGCAAGCGCUGACGGCAGACCCCAUGAAGCCGUUGAUGUCAGAGGCACGUGCUAAGACCGGUCGGAAAGUGAAGAUGAUAAAGCCGAGGAAUUACUACUCUUGCUGGCUGUGCGACCGGUCGGUGAUUGACCGGCUGCGUCAUCUAGAACAGGAGCACAAAAUGGAGGCUGGGACAUUCAAUUUUGUUUACACAAGAGGGCCGUUUCCGGAAAGUCGCGAAAACUUCAGGAAAGGUGACCAGCAGACUCGCCACUCAUGAUGACUCGGCAUAGGAGGAUGAGAAGGUGGAGGAUGAGGAGGAGGAGGAAGAGGACUUUUCAUUCCUAAUGCCGAAAUACUGCCUGAGCCUGGAACCCAAUGCAAGGGUGAUGCAUGGUCGGAGAAGCUGCAAUUUCAAUCGUUGACUCAUAUGUAGACUACAUGUUCCUGCGGAGCAGGCCAGGUGGGUUGGCAAACGAGUCGAAAACACAAGAGGUCAACAUGAAGAUCAACCGGUUCCUGGCCCUGUCUGGCUACUUGGAAGGAGUGGUGUUGAGUGACAUGCUGUUGUGGAUGGGCCAUAUGGAGGUCCACGACAGUUCCUCAACACCACUCACCAGCUGGAGACGGUGCGGAAUGCACUAACGGCAAUCAAGAACUUCCUGAAGUGGUGCGAGGGAAUGGUCUAGCGGACGCCCGCACAUUGAACAAUGCUUCCUGACCUCAACCUGCCUGGAUAAGAGCCGUCGCGAGGUUGUUCGGAGGGUAGAGGAGAGUGCGGCCAUCCUGACGGACGCAAACCUGGAGCGCCACUUCACUGAGAGUAGGUGUACCUAGAGAUUGAGCUGGAGACAGUGAAGGUGCUGACCUCUGUGUGGAACACUUAGAAGCUGGCAAGUUUUCAUAUUGAAGGGUAUGGUUCCCAACCGCCCAUCACACACAGAAUGAAGCUUGUCGUCUUCCGCAGUAAAAACUGGGUGCUGGAAGAUGCUUACUGCUAUAUUGACUGCUUCCGAGCGCUUCCUGGACCUAAAAAUUAUCUCCCAGCAGCAACCUCCCCAAGGUGUGACGAGAGUCUUCAAGUGUUCCAGACGGCUGGUGAUGCAUUUUAAGAAAAGCCAUCAGAAUCUUGCAAUGAUCUGUAUACUUAAUAAAUGACAAAACAACAA